AUGCACGCUGGCGGCGUGCUUCACCCCUGCCAGUCGCACGGAAAGGCCGAAGCUUGCUUCGGUACUCGAGUGGCGAACGGGUGAGUAACACGUGGGUGAUCUGCCCUGUACUUCGGGAUAAGCUUGGGAAACUGGGUCUAAUACCGGAUAUGACGAUCUCUUGGAUGGGGUUGUGGAAAGCUUUUACGGUAUGGGAUGAGCUCGCGGCCUAUCAGCUUGUUGGUGGGGUAAUGGCCUACCAAGGCGUCGACGGGUAGCCGGCCUGAGAGGGUGUACGGCCACAUUGGGACUGAGAUACGGCCCAGACUCCUACGGGAGGCAGCAGUGGGGAAUAUUGCACAAUGGGUGCAAGCCUGAUGCAGCGACGCCGCGUGGGGGAUGACGGCCUUCGGGUUGUAAACUCCUUUCGCAAUCGACGAAGCCUUUUGGUGACGGUAGGUUGAGAAGAAGCACCGGCUAACUACGUG
rnacentral:rRNA from 1 species